GAUGAACGCUGGCGGCGUGCCUAAUACAUGCAAGUCGAGCGAACAGACGAGGAGCUUGCUCCUCGGACGUUAGCGGCGGACGGGUGAGUAACACGUGGAUAACCUACCUAUAAGACUGGGAUAACUUCGGGAAACCGGAGCUAAUACCGGAUAAUAUAUUGAACCGCAUGGUUCAAUAGUGAAAGACGGUUUUGCUGUCACUUAUAGAUGGAUACGCGCCGCAUUAGCUAGUUGGUAAGGUAAAGGCUUACGAAGGCCACGCUGCGUAGCCGACCUGAUUGGGGGGUCGGCCACCCGGGAACUGAACCACGGUCCUGGCGCCUACGGGAGGCAGCAGUAGGCAAUCUUCCGCAGUGGGCGAAAGCCUUGCGGAGCAGCGCCGCGUGAGUUAUGAAGGUCUUCGGAUCGUAAAACUCUGUUAUGAGGGAAGAACAACUGUGUAAGUAACUAUGCCCGUCGUGACGGUACCUAAUCAGAAAGCCACGGCUAACUACGUG
rnacentral:rRNA from 1 species